UAACUAGGCCGAGGAAAAGAAACUAACCAGGAUUCCCCCAGUAACGGCGAGUGAAGCGGGAGAAGCCCAUGCUGCCAACCGCUCCGGCGGGUUGUGCCAGGCGUGCCUGGUGAGGUCCCGGGGAGAAGUCCUUUGGAACAAGGUAUCAGAGAGGGUGACAAUCCCGUCUGUGCCUCGGGGUCCUCGCGUGAAGGCCGUGCUAAUGGAGUCGAGUUGCUUGGGAUUGCAGCUCAAAGUCGGUGGUAAAUUCCAUCGAAGGCUAAAUACGGGUGGG
rnacentral:rRNA from 1 species